GACCGGGGAUAGCUCGGUUGGUAGAGCAUGAGCCUCUUAAUCUCAGGGUUGUGGGUUCAAGCCCCAUGCUGGGCA